GGUUAAGCGACUAAGCGUACACGGUGGAUGCCCUGGCAGUCAGAGGCGAUGAAGGACGUGCUAAUCUGCGAAAAGCGUCGGUAAGGUGAUAUGAACCGUUAUAACCGGCGAUGUCCGAAUGGGGAAACCCAGUGCAAUUCGUUGCACUAUCGUUAACUGAAUACAUAGGUUAACGAGGCGAACCGGGGGAACUGAAACAUCUAAGUACCCCGAGGAAAAGAAAUCAACCGAGAUUCCCCCAGUAGCGGCGAGCGAACGGGGAGCAGCCCAGAGUCUGAAUCAGCUUGUGUGUUAGUGGAACGGUCUGGAAAGUCCGACGGUACAGGGUGAUAGUCCCGUACACCAAAAUGCACAGGCUGUGAACUCGAAGAGUAGGGCGGGACACGUGGUAUCCUGUCUGAAUAUGGGGGGACCAUCCUCCAAGGCUAAAUACUCCUGACUGACCGAUAGUGAACCAGUACCGUGAGGGAAAGGCGAAAAGAACCCCGGCGAGGGGAGUGAAAAAGAACCUGAAACCGUGUACGUACAAGCAGUGGGAGCACCUUCGGGUGUGACUGCGUACCUUUUGUAUAAUGGGUCAGCGACUUAUAUUCUGUAGCAAGGUUAACCGUAUAGGGGAGCCGCAGGGAAACCGAGUCUUAACUGGGCGUUAAGUUGCAGGGUAUAGACCCGAAACCCGGUGAUCUAGCCAUGGGCAGGUUGAAGGUUGGGUAACACUAACUGGAGGACCGAACCGACUAAUGUUGAAAAAUUAGCGGAUGACUUGUGGCUGGGGGUGAAAGGCCAAUCAAACCGGGAGAUAGCUGGUUCUCCCCGAAAGCUAUUUAGGUAGCGCCUCGUGAACUCAUCUUCGGGGGUAGAGCACUGUUUCGGCUAGGGGGUCAUCCCGACUUACCAACCCGAUGCAAACUACGAAUACCGAAGAAUGUUAUCACGGGAGACACACGGCGGGUGCUAACGUCCGUCGUGAAGAGGGAAACAACCCAGACCGCCAGCUAAGGUCCCAAAGUCAUGGUUAAGUGGGAAACGAUGUGGGAAGGCACAGACAGCCAGGAUGUUGGCUUAGAAGCAGCCAUCAUUUAAAGAAAGCGUAAUAGCUCACUGGUCGAGUCGGCCUGCGCGGAAGAUGUAACGGGGCUAAACCAUGCACCGAAGCUGCGGCAGCGACACUAUGUGUUGUUGGGUAGGGGAGCGUUCUGUAAGCCUGCGAAGGUGUGCUGUGAGGCAUGCUGGAGGUAUCAGAAGUGCGAAUGCUGACAUAAGUAACGAUAAAGCGGGUGAAAAGCCCGCUCGCCGGAAGACCAAGGGUUCCUGUCCAACGUUAAUCGGGGCAGGGUGAGUCGACCCCUAAGGCGAGGCCGAAAGGCGUAGUCGAUGGGAAACAGGUUAAUAUUCCUGUACUUGGUGUUACUGCGAAGGGGGGACGGAGAAGGCUAUGUUAGCCGGGCGACGGUUGUCCCGGUUUAAGCAUGUAGGCUGGUUGUCCAGGCAAAUCCGGAUAAUCAAGGCUGAGGUGUGAUGACGAGGCACUACGGUGCUGAAGUAACAAAUGCCCUGCUUCCAGGAAAAGCCUCUAAGCAUCAGGUAACAUCAAAUCGUACCCCAAACCGACACAGGUGGUCAGGUAGAGAAUACCAAGGCGCUUGAGAGAACUCGGGUGAAGGAACUAGGCAAAAUGGUGCCGUAACUUCGGGAGAAGGCACGCUGGUGUGUAGGUGAAGCCCCUGCGGGUGGAGCUGAGACCAGUCGAAGAUACCAGCUGGCUGCAACUGUUUAUUAAAAACACAGCACUGUGCAAACACGAAAGUGGACGUAUACGGUGUGACGCCUGCCCGGUGCCGGAAGGUUAAUUGAUGGGGUUAUCCGUAAGGAGAAGCUCUUGAUCGAAGCCCCGGUAAACGGCGGCCGUAACUAUAACGGUCCUAAGGUAGCGAAAUUCCUUGUCGGGUAAGUUCCGACCUGCACGAAUGGCGUAAUGAUGGCCAGGCUGUCUCCACCCGAGACUCAGUGAAAUUGAACUCGCUGUGAAGAUGCAGUGUACCCGCGGCAAGACGGAAAGACCCCGUGAACCUUUACUAUAGCUUGACACUGAACAUUGAGCCUUGAUGUGUAGGAUAGGUGGGAGGCUUUGAAGCGUGGACGCCAGUCUGCGUGGAGCCAACCUUGAAAUACCACCCUUUAAUGUUUGAUGUUCUAACGUUGGCCCCUUACCGGGGUUGCGGACAGUGUCUGGUGGGUAGUUUGACUGGGGCGGUCUCCUCCCAAAGCGUAACGGAGGAGCACGAAGGUUAGCUAAUCCUGGUCGGACAUCAGGAGGUUAGUGCAAUGGCAUAAGCUAGCUUGACUGCGAGCGUGACGGCGCGAGCAGGUGCGAAAGCAGGUCAUAGUGAUCCGGUGGUUCUGAAUGGAAGGGCCAUCGCUCAACGGAUAAAAGGUACUCCGGGGAUAACAGGCUGAUACCGCCCAAGAGUUCAUAUCGACGGCGGUGUUUGGCACCUCGAUGUCGGCUCAUCACAUCCUGGGGCUGAAGUAGGUCCCAAGGGUAUGGCUGUUCGCCAUUUAAAGUGGUACGCGAGCUGGGUUUAGAACGUCGUGAGACAGUUCGGUCCCUAUCUGCCGUGGGCGCUGGAGAACUGAGGGGGGCUGCUCCUAGUACGAGAGGACCGGAGUGGACGCAUCACUGGUGUUCGGGUUGUCAUGCCAAUGGCACUGCCCGGUAGCUAAAUGCGGAAGAGAUAAGUGCUGAAAGCAUCUAAGCACGAAACUUGCCCCGAGAUGAGUUCUCCCUGAGACUUUAAGUCUCCUGAAGGAACGUUGAAGACGACGACGUUGAUAGGCCGGGUGUGUAAGCGCAGCGAUGCGUUGAGCUAACCGGUACUAAUGAACCGUGAGGCUUAACCUU
rnacentral:rRNA from 1 species